UACGAAGGGUGCAAGCGUUAAUCGGAAUUACUGGGCGUAAAGCGCACGUAGGCGGACGGAGAAGUCAGAGGUGAAAUCCCAGGGCUCAACCUUGGAACUGCCUUUGAAACUUUCUGUCUUGAGGUCGAGAGAGGUGAGUGGAAUUCCGAGUGUAGGGGUGAAAUUCGUAGAUAUUCGGAGGAACACCAGUGGCGAAGGCGGCUCACUGGCUCGAUACUGACACUGAGGUGCGAAAGCGUGGGGAGCAAAC
rnacentral:rRNA from 1 species